rnacentral:lncRNA from 1 species
AAAUGAUCUUAAUACAUGAUUUUAGUAAAAAAAAAAAAAAAACUCAUUAUUGGCUGUAUAUUUAUCUUAUUUAGAAAAAUUCCAUUGGUGAUUUCUUCAAAUUGGCACAAAUAAUCUUUAAACAUAUUCAAGCCUAAUGUAAUUUUUAAAAAGAGGGUCCAUGAAUUCAUUUUCAUGUUAAAUCAGUAAAAAAAAUGGGUCUUUUCCUGAUAUGUAACUAUUUGACAUGGCUAAAAGUAACAUUUGACAUUAGCGACAUCAUUACCUCCCCUGUUACUGUAUCAUAUGCCCUUGAUAGCAAACUUAUAUCAGCCUCCCUAUAGAUCUUGAGGAACCUUAGCUGUCAAAAAGUUUAAGUAAGUUAAGUUAUCGUUUAAAGGUGCAUAAACUAAAAUUAAUAAAAUAUUUUACCCUUAUAACAAUACUUGAGCGUGUGUUGUAGUAAUUUAUUAGAAUGAUCUACUAAAUGGUGGAGUGAUAAUUUGCACGUCACAAUGUCAACAAGGGGAGUAAUUAUAAAUAGAAAAUGAGAGUUGGUAUGAAAGUAAACUUUAAAAAGAAUGUUAAAUAAAAUUUGUUGAAUAAUUUUUAAUCAAAUUUUGCAGAGGUACAUGCUUCCAAUUGGCUUCCCUCAGAGUUACAUGCCUCUAAUUGGGACCGCUCUGCCAGGGGUACUGCUUCUAAUUAGCUUUUGCAGACAGAGGUAUAUAUGUACUGCUUCCAAUCAGCUUCGCAACAAGACAGAGGGUGUGCUCCCAAUUAGCUUCACUAAGAGGUACAUGCUUCCAAUUGGCUUCGCUCAGACAACCAUACUACUUCCAGUGUUGUAAUGGUAUGGAUUUGCAAGUCUAUACUACUUCUAUUGUUGAAAUGGUACAUAAUUGCAAUUAAUUGUCGUCCAAAUUUGCAAAAACAUAUUUUAUUUAACAUUCUUAAUCCAGUUUACUGUCAUACCUACUUUCACUCUCUAUUUGUAAUUUCUUCUUAUGGUGACAAAUUGUGAAGAACACAUUAUCACUUGGGAAUUUUGUACUCUUCUGUAGUUUUAAUCCUGAUGAGGGUGCGGUAGGAACCAAAACUUGUCUAUCUUAUUAAAUAAGACAACCUUUGCAUUAGUUGUAUAUACCUCUUAUAUUUAAUUUUUUGGAUAAAAGAAACAAUUGUUCAUCAUUUUAUAAGGACUUUCUUUACAGUUAUCCCAUUUGCAGAGGACAUGGGGCAUUUUUUUUUUAAGGGAAAGCAGUUUGCUUCUCAGUUUCAAAAUAAUGAACUUUUCAAAACACUAGUUUAUAUUGAUAGGAGAUUAAUAAAGGAAUCAAAAGAGCAAAAAUAAUUUAAAGGUCAAU